rnacentral:RNase_P_RNA from 2 species
CGAAGCAGACCAGAUGGCCGCCGUCCACCGUAGCCUUUGGCGAAGGUGGAGGGAGGAAAGUCCGGGCUCCACAGGGCAUGGUGCUGGAUAACGUCCAGCGAGGGUAACCUCAGGGAAAGUGCCACAGAGAGAAGUCCGCCCCCCACACCCUGGCGACAGGGUCCGCCGAAGCCUCGGCGAAGGCGGAAGGGGGGUAAGGGUGAAAGGGUGAGGUAAGAGCUCACCGGGUUCGGCGGCGACGCCGGAUGCCAGGUAAACCCCACCAGGAGCAAGACCAAAUAGGGAAGCGUUAAGGACGGCCCGUCCGUGCUUCCGGGUUGGUUGCUUGAGGGCGUCGGUAACGGCGCUCCUAGAUGAAUGACCAUCGCCCGUCUCCGGGUAACCGGCUGCGGGAACAGAACCCGGCUUACGGGCUGCUUCGGCCA